rnacentral:lncRNA from 1 species
UUUGUUGUCGUCUGCUUCUGCAUUUUCUAGUCGCGCCGACCUUUUUUCAUCGGUUUUACUAGGUUUUACUAAAUUUAUUAUUCAAUUAACGCUUUCUUAAACGACGAGACAAUUAAUUUAUUUUCAAGUUAGAAGCCGAAUCAUAGCACAUUUUUGUAUAGGCUAAGGAAGCUUUGCUUCAUCAUAGCAACAAUCUCAGAAUCAUCAAUUAGCAUCCCUCUUGAAGUCUUGAUUAAGGAAAUGCACACAUCCCCUGACUGUGGAAGAAGACGAGAUCCAGAUCACCCCAUGGCUUUCAGGUGAAACGAGCACCUGUCUUGAUGCCAACUUGAAAAUGGUUUUUAUCGACUGGUAAUUCAGCAGACAAAUCUGGAUGUAGAAUUAGAUACCAAUUUGGACUGGACAAUCUGGACUACUUUGGACAUGCUGGACUGCCCAAAGCAUUCCACCAAUAUCUGCUGACAAAUGAAACUUCUAGCUUGGCCUAGAAGAUUCUUUGGAAAUCGACAUUUCGUAAUUAGGCCAGAAAUGGCCUAUUGUGCUUCCCUUUCCCGCUCCUGAAUUUCCUGCUAGAUGUCGUUUUGGAUGAAACGCUCCUGUAAUCCUGAUUUGUGCCAGCGCCCAGCAGUAAAUUGCCCGAGACUACAUUCAGCUGUCGACUAUUGAGUUACGCCGUGAAAGCCGCGCCAUUCAUUGUUAUCACAAAUUUCACCCAGCCUCUUUGCCGGGCAGGCUCUCGUCGUGUUCGUAUCUCUUGUAACAGUGUAGCAGCUUUGACCGAGUCUUUGUACGCUCACCUGCCCACAGAAAAUGUUCAAUAUUCGUGAUCACGUGAUCGACCAGCUCACCUCCCAUUAGCAUCUAAAUAUUUGAUGUGGCUGCCGUUUUUGGAUCGACAGGCGGUACUAUUGCAGAAGAUUUGGCACCUAACGAAAUCCCCGAAUUUGUUUUGAAAGAUGACGUGGAAUGGACUAAUUAUCUUUUAGUGCUUGAACGAAUAUCCGUUAUUUGACAGCCAUCGAUAAUCCUGGCCGUAGGAAAAGAACUCGUCCGUGCCGAUUUGGAGAAAAACCGCAGUUUAGCUGAGACUUGGUCUAUUCUCGUUUCUGCUAUUGACAAUCUUCAAUCCAAUACUUGGCCCGUUAUCACUAGCAAAGUGUACAACUGUACAUGUCAUUACAUUUCGGACGUGUCGAAGAAGCUGAUGCAUGCGGAAAUCCUGACCGGGCUACACGCGUCCAACGUCACGUGUUUUUGCUCAAAGCCAUCAUCGCACGUAUCAAAGAUCCGUUGUUCGGAUCUAAAAUGUCGAUAAUGAAAACAUUUGGACAACACCACCAAAAAGUGGACCAACAAAUUUUUGUUUAAAAGUCAGGUUUCACUGACUAUUUUCUGGUGAUGUUUUUAAAUAAUAGGAACAGGUAGUCGCCGGUCGCCCGUCACCCUGUUGGCUUGAGAGUUUGCCCACCAGCCGCUGAGGCAACUCCUGGCAAAUUUAAGCCAUUUAGUUCACUAGAGUACUACUGCUAGUCUACUACUACUACUAGACAAUUUGUCAGGUAUGGUUUUUCCUUGAUUGUUACAGUCAUCAUCAAAAGUUGAAUAUUUAUUGAACCUGCUGUGCACUAAGAUGUGGCUAACUUAACAACUACUUAAACCUAAAUGUGGUUUUUUAAAUUCAGUUUCCGUUGGUUGGAAGAUUAUAUUUUAGUCUUGCUAACAGUAGAAUAAUCAAUUAAGAAAAUUUCUAUCUUUUUGACGACAUCAGUUUUUGACAUUUGUAGAAGAUAGAAAUCGUAGAAAAGGAUUGAAGCUUCACUGAUGUUUGAGAUAAAAAAAAUAUAAUAAUAGGGAAGGAAUGUGAGCUGUGGUCGUUCGGCUUAUUGUUAGCUCCACCUAUCUGCGUUAACUUGAUUUCUUUUAACCAAGCGGCUAUUUGAAAAGACGGAACUCCUCCAAUAUAUGAUAAAUUCAGAGUUAAUCCGGUAUCCAGUCCUUUCACCUACAUUGCUAAGAUUUUUAGUUGGGAACAGAAUCAACCAGAGUAUGCAGUCACGAGGAUUGCAUAGAACCUUAUUCACUAGACCGACCUACUGCAGACAUCCCUAUCCAAGAAGUUUGUUGUCUGUAUGCGUUGUGGUGCGUGCCCAGGUAUGGGAGCAACAAUGCUCACAAGGAGAGUCGAACUCGGGUACCAAAAUACCCCGAUCACUAAGCGACGCCUUGUUCGACUCACCCACCUGCCCACCAUAUUUAAUAAGUUCUGAAAGGCAUUUUAUACUGAUCCUAAUCCCUCGUAAACAACGAUGGCCUUGCAUCGUAUACUUAACGGAUUUGUUAAUAAUAAAUCAAAAUCGUACAGUAAUAUUUUAUCUCCUUCCCUAUAGUAAAUUAUACCCUAUUUACUGCUAACAGCUCAAGUAACCGAGUUUAAUUUUUGAAAUUCCUUAAAUUAAAACUUUUUUCAUAUAUAUAC